CAAGAGAGACUAAGGAAGAGACUUUCCCUUUCUCUUGGAAACAUGAACUUUUUCUAUCAUCUAAGGAGGAUUUUUAGAAACCUUAGCCAUUUUAGAAUGAAAGAGAGAGAGAGAGAGAGAAGUGAUACAGAUGGAGAAAAAUAAGAGAAUUAUAUAUAGAGGGACAGAGAAUAUGAAAUGAAAAGAAAAGAGAUGGAAGAGUCGCCUAGGA
rnacentral:lncRNA from 1 species